CCCCCCCAAAAAAAUAUAUGUAUAUAUUUGCGGGCCCAGGAUUUAGUUCAGUGGUUCUGCUGCUUGCCUUGCAAGUGCAAGGCCCUGAGUUUGAUCCCUGGCACCCCCCAAAAAACAUUGCAUAAAGAAGUGUUAGCGCUCUGUACAGGUCAAUGGACACUGUAAUUAUGUGUAUCAAGAAAGGAAAAUCUUGGGCCAGGGAUUUAGCUCAGCGGCUUUGCUGCCUGCCUUGCAAGUGAAAGGGGCCCGAGUUCAAUCCCCGGUACCAAAAAACCAAAAAAAAGGAAAAUGUUGAGCCCCAGAGGAGUCAGAAAAAGCAAAACAAAAUCUAGAGUGGGAAACCUCCUUCACCGGCCCAUAUGUUCAUGUGGAAAUACAGCAGAAAUACUUGCAAAAAAAGAAGAGAAGCACUAGUUUCUUUAAACAAUGGGUCCAAGUAGCAGCGGCCACAGACAGCGCCUCGCCUGACCACCACAGGCGGGAGGUGCUCGGCACCAUCCAGGGAGGACUAGGACGUGGGGAACAAGGCCGGGCAGGGGCCCCGCUUCAGACGGGCUUCCGUGUCUCUGUGGUUACCAGGACAGCCGGCGCCGUUGUCAUGGCUACGGGACUCGGUUGUCCUCUUUCUGCUGCAGGAAAUGACUCGGCUGGGGGAAGGACACCCUGGGACCCGCAUGGGCAGCCGUGGAGCCCCACGCAGCAGCCGCACCGCCGUAACUGCCGAAGCCGGUCCCGGAGAAGAAGGCGCCGGCUGAUCCCGGCCGCUCGGUUCCGGUGGGUCGUUCCUGACGUCCAGGUGGCCUCAGAUGCAGAUUUAUCCCUUAAAGACAGCGUCCUCUCCUGUGUGGGGUUCGCUGAGAAAUCCCGGGCCGGGGUCUCUCUGAGGGCGCUGAGAGCUGCUCGUGUCCAGGAGGGAGACCAUGAAGGCUGCGGAGAGGCGCUGAGCCUUCACUGACCAACCUGAGUUACAACCAGCCCUCGGGACUGAGUCGGUAAAUCAAGGGCCCACUGUAGUGGCAGACAGUCUACCCAGAGCUUGCCUGUGCGGGCACUAGACUAAGCGCUUCGCUUGCCGGUCUGGCUGAAUCGUCGCCGUCUUAAUCUCAUCUGAUGUCCAAGGCUCUUCUUGACAAUUCCAGGGCACGAGCCCGGCAGCACUAUGUCCCACCUGACUUUCAGUUGUAUUCCCUACCAACCUACAAAGGACUCCCCGAGUGGCCUCCACUGGAUUCAAAUCCAGCCAUCUCCUCAUCUAUGGCUUUGUCCUUAUCUGUCCUCUGCCGGAGAGAGUGAGAAAGUUACAUUAAGGCCUGGGAAGUCACAGGGCUGAAAGCCAUAAACAAAACCAAACCAGAC
rnacentral:lncRNA from 1 species